UCCAGUCUAUUUAUACUUGGGGAUGGAUGU
rnacentral:piRNA from 1 species